GGACCGGUCGUCUAGUUUGGUUUGGAUGACGCACUCACACUGCGUAAGGAAAAUAUUUCCCGCAAAGGUCGUGGGUUCAAAUCCCAUUCGGUCCA
rnacentral:tRNA from 1 species